ensembl:lncRNA
GGCAGAAUUAUCUUGCGAAUUUGGAGGUUGUGAAGAUUUAAGGAGAGAAAAACUGUGUUCUCUUUGUCUUCUGGAAAUUGGGAAUUUCCCUAACCUCUACUUGCAUUCCCUAUGUAGUUUCGCACUUCUCCAGCAGUGCGCUGUUAUCAGUCACACUGGGAACAGAGACCACAGUGAAAAAUAUCUUUCUGCCCACCCUCGGAGAUGUGUGCUGUGAUGAAGGCUCUAAAACCAGUAAGUGACUGUAAGAUUCUUCUGUGGAUUUCACAUUGCAGACAACCUAAGAACAAACUGCAGAAGUGUGCUCCUUCUUUGAAGACUGCCACAGGUGGAGAUGGAGACCUCAGAGCAUGAGAGACUCUCCAGAUGUGUAAGGUGGCAGUAUCAUGGAGUCUCCCAGAUCAGCCACAAAAUGACAUUACUUUUUCUAAUGGGUUGCUCAGAGUCAGCCCAACCCACAGCAAAAGCCAGAGAUCUGUUGUGAGCAGGCCAGCCUGACCUCUAUGUCGGAACAAGCUACCACAGCUCAACAGGUGUGACAUCCCUCCUCAAGCUGUGGGACCACAUGCCUGAACCCCACAGACCCUUUUGUCACCUUCUGAACUCUAUUUGUGAACAGUGUGAAAAGCCUGCGGCAGUAGUGUUUAGAAAAACCACACCACUCUCUAACUUUCUGUGCUGGUGAUCUACAUGGAGGCAGAACUCAAAUUCUGGCUUGGUUUUGGUGAAGAAUAUACUUUAAUUAAUUAACAUUUGUUCCUCUCCUCAAAUAAUUCUACUCCCAGCUCUCACACAUCUAGUAACAGGGAGUACCCAUCCCAGAAAUUAUAAAGCUGCUUGCCAACUCCAGGAAAAUCAGUGUGAAAUCAACAAUAUGAAGCCCUGUGGAUUGUGCUCCUGCAAUGGACCAUUUCCUCUGUGCUGGCCGUUCAGAUGCAAGAUCGCACGAGCUAAUUUAGAUAAGAAAGAACUUUACAGCAGGGCUGUACGAUAAGAGAAUCCAGAAACUAGUGCUGAGGGGAAGAGAACAGAGUCCGAAGAAGGAAAGGGUAGGAGGAAUUUCCUGUUGAAAGGAAAGACGCACACACGUAUGCAAUCAAAAUAGCAGCCAGAAACCCACAAAACGUAUGGUUUCCCCCAAAGCUGACACUCACUUUAACAGUUCCUUAAGGGACAGGAGAGAAGGAU